GGGGGCGUGGCCUAUUGGUUUGACGCAACUAACCACCAACUUGAUUUCAAUUGAUUUACCGCAGAGAAAUCUAUUUGACUGGCGUUAAAAUGAAUUGAUAUGAAUUGAAAUGAAUUAAAUAUAAUUUUUAAUUUCUGUCAAUCUUUAUCAAAUAACGAUCAAUCUCAUUUAAAUAGCGUUAACACGUUUUUGUCCGUUCAAGUUAAAUUC
rnacentral:lncRNA from 1 species